AGUAGCCAUUCUUUUAUUCGAAUACUUUACUCUCCUAACAAACUUGCUUUCAUUUUACUCUACAGACUCACCCUGAAUUCUUUCUUGCACUUGCUCUAAGAACCCUCUCUUGGGGUCUGGAUCCGGACCGCUUUCUGCUAACACUUCUACAUACCACGUUUAUUUGAGACAGAAAAAUACAGCAAGGACAUCCAUCUAAACUUUGUCUGGAGUCUGGGCCCAGGGGAGCUGCAGUACAUGGAGGGUCUCUGGAAGUGGCAUUUCCCAGGGGAGUAAAAGGAAGGAUCAAAGCUACAAUGGGCUUGGCUGCCCUUCUCCAGGAAUGGCCAGAGGACAACUUCUGCUUGGAAAGUUCCUGGAUACUUCUGGAACAGAAUUCUCCUGGGGUGAGUGGUUCACACAACUGACCCACUUCAUCCCCACUCAGCAAAAUGAGAGCGCCGUUGACUGACAACAAAAUGCUGAACUGGAAACCUCCGCAGUAAAACGUGAUGCAGAACAGAGAAAGAACUAAGAUGUUCUGCACAGACGGUAUCAUGCCCUCUAUGAGGAAACUACUCGAGCAUAUCUGUGUUUCAAAUGAUGUCUUUGAACUAUUUAUGUUAAAUGCCCCCCCAAAAAAAUGGAAAGGCUUCUUCGUAGAGGAAAGAGCUUGAAGUUGCUAGGCUGUUCUGCCUUCAACAGGCAUUUAUUGUGCAGCUACAAAAUGCUGCACCAAGCACUGGGCAGUGGAAAGGUGAUUCAGACACAGUUCCUUUGACAAAACCUCAAAAUCCCAUGUGAAGUUCUCUUUUAUAAAGUAAAUCAGAAAAGAUUCAAAAGUUGAGGUACCAAAAAAAAAUAAUAUAAAUGCAAGUAGUAAAGCGCUAUUGACUGUAAAUAGAAGCACUUAAUAAGUGGUUGUUGUUUCUGUUCUUCUCUCUAAUAAGUGUAUACAGGUGGCUAAAUGCUUUUGUUGAGCUAUGAGUACCUCAUUCUGUGGAGUGACUCAGAAAGUCUCUAGGUGUUAGACUGGAAACAGGUGAUGUUCAGUGCACGCAAUGCUUGAAGUGUUCCCAGGUAUUUAGUUUCAGGUAAAUUUUACUGUUUAAAAAAAUUGUUUUUACUUGCUAUUAAGUGUGUUGACCUUGGAUAAUUUACUUAACCUCUCUAUGCCUUGCUUCCUUUUCUGCAAAAUGAGAGUAAGAAAAGUGCUUACCUCAUUGGCUUUUUGUGAAAUUCAAUGAGUUAACACGUGGGAGAAAAGAUGUUUUUAAAUAAUCAAUUCUUAGCAGUUGGUCAUUGUUAUGAGUUACAUCAUGCGUAGUUAAAUAUUUUUUAAAAAAUUAAAAUUUAUUUUCCUAUAGGAAAAAGGAGGGACUGAAUUGUGAAUCCAUUUUCUCUGCUUUCAGUUAUUUCUACUCCUGAGAAAAACCCUAAGCACUUAGGGUCUAGAACCACAUCCCGAGACGGUGAGCUCUUCCCACAUUUUCACAUGUGCCUGAAUCAUUUGUAGGUCUCGUUCAAGCAGAGAAUCUCCGGGAUUCUCACUCGGGAGGUCUGGGGUCGGGCCUGAGUCCUUGCAUUUCUAACAAACUCCCAGUUGAUGCUGGUGCCACUGGUUCUGAAUUAAGAUGCUUGUUUACCUAGUGACAGCAACAAAAAUUGUAGCAAUGGUAUCCAGAAAUAAACAGCAUACUUUUAUAGGGCUAGUCAAAUGAACCCAAACAUACAAAAUAAAGGCAAACCUCACAAUCUUCUUGCAAUGAUUUAUUACUCUGAGAGCUCAUUUUAGGUGAGAUUGUCUCCCUCCGGAGCCUGAUUCCUAAAAGCUUUCUAUGACUUUGAAAUUAUCGUUUUCCUUUUGGAGGUAGCACAAUAUAAGAGCUAAGAAGAGAAUGAGAACUGGAGUCCCUCCCAGGUUUGCCCCUCUAGGUAUGUAAGCUAAGGUAAACUACUUAGCCUUUCUUAAGCCUCAGUUUUCUCAUUACAAAUGGGCAUAUACGGAACAUUGGCUUGCCUCCUACAGUUGUUUGAGGACUCAAUGAAAAUGUACGUGAAGCUGGUUGCGGUGAGCUGAGAUUGUGCCACUGCACUCCAGCCUUGUGACACAGCGAGACUCCGUCUCAAAAAAAUAAAUAAAUAAAUAAAUAAAAAUAAAAGACUGG
rnacentral:lncRNA from 10 species